AUUGGACGCUGGCGGCAGGCCUAACACAUGCAAGUCGAACGGUAGCACAGAGAGCUUGCUCUCGGGUGACGAGUGGCGGACGGGUGAGUAAUGUCUGGGAAACUGCCCGAUGGAGGGGGAUAACUACUGGAAACGGUAGCUAAUACCGCAUAACGUCGCAAGACCAAAGUGGGGGACCUUCGGGCCUCACACCAUCGGAUGUGCCCAGAUGGGAUUAGCUAGUAGGUGGGGUAAUGGCUCACCUAGGCGACGAUCCCUAGCUGGUCUGAGAGGAUGACGAGCCACACUGGAACUGAGACACGGUCCAGACUCCUACGGGAGGCAGCAGUGGGGAAUAUUGCACAAUGGGCGCAAGCCUGAUGCAGCCAUGCCGCGUGUAUGAAGAAGGCCUUCGGGUUGUAAAGUACUUUCAGCGGGGAGGAAGGCGGUGAAGUUAAUAACUUCACCGAUUGACGUUACCCGCAGAAGAAGCACCGGCUAACUCCGUGCCAGCCGCCGCCGUAA
rnacentral:rRNA from 1 species